AGGAGGAACAACCGUAGUGGCGACGGCCAGCUCUGGAGCCCUGGAUUCAGCUCCCGCAGUAACUACAGAGCUCUCCGUCCGCAGGGCCUGGAGGCUCCGGGGCGGG
rfam:Canis lupus familiaris chromosome 30, whole genome shotgun sequence.